UCUGUUUCAUUAGCAUACCAUAUAGUAAGAAACACGACAGCAAUAUUCGCUUUCUAUUUUUGAUGAUGAACAGUGAAGAUUAACCAUACCCAAGUAAAUGCCCAUCAUCAAUAACUGCCAAUUUUCUCUACCAUUAAUCCAUAAAAUGAAAGUUGAUCUUUCCAUUAGCACCAGUUAUGCAUACAUUCUUAUAUAAGAGGUAGAUGACUUGUUGGAAAUAUCAACCUGCGCUAAACUCCCACAUUAACCAUAAUAUUGUUUUUAAAAUUGGAAGCAACAUAACCUCCUGUUAAGAAGCAAUAUGUAAAUAUGGCACCCAUUUAUGUAGAAUAUUUGUAAUUUAAAUGGAGGUAUCUUUUAAGAACCAAUAUGUAAAUAUGGCACUCAUUUAUGUAGAAUAUUUG
rnacentral:lncRNA from 1 species